AUGCCUCAGUAACGGCGAGUGAAGCGGCAAAAGCUCAAAUUUGAAAUCUGGCACUUUCAGUGUCCGAGUUGUAAUUUGUAGAAGUAGUUUUGGGACUGGUCCUUAUCUAUGUUUCUUGGAACAGGACGUCAUAGAGGGUGAGAACCCCGUAUGAUGAGGCCCCCAGUCCUUUGUAAAACGCUUUCGAAGAGUCGAGUUGUUUGGGAAUGCAGCUCUAAGUGGGUGGUAAAUUCCAUCUAAAGCUAAAUAUUGGCGAGAGACCGAUAGCGAACAAGUACAGUGAUGGAAAGAUGAAAAGAACUUUGAAAAGAGAGUGAAAAAGUACGUGAAAUUGUUGAAAGGGAAGGGCAUUUGAUCAGACAUGGUGUUUUGCGCCCUUUGCUCCUUGUGGGCGGAGGAUACGCAGCUCACUGGGCCAACAUCAGUUUUGGGAGCAGGAUAAAUCUGUAGGAACGUAGCUUUCUUCGGGAAGUGUUAUAGCCUAUGGGAAUACUGCUACCUGGGACUGAGGACUGCGUCUUUUGACAAGGAUGUUGGCAUAAUGGUUAAAUGCCGCCCGUCUU
rnacentral:rRNA from 1 species